UACGUAGGGUGCGAGCGUUAAUCGGAAUUACUGGGCGUAAAGCGUGCGCAGGCGGUUUUGUAAGCCAGAUGUGAAAGCCCCGGGCUCAACCUGGGAAUGGCAUUUGGGACUGCAAGCUUGAGUGCGGCAGAGGAGACUGGAAUUCCUGGUGUAGCAGUGAAAUGCGUAGAUAUCAGGAGGAAUACCGAUGGCGAAGGCAGGUCUCUGGGCUGACACUGACGCUCAUGCACGAAAGCGUGGG
rnacentral:rRNA from 1 species